GUUUUCAACGAACAAGGAAAAGAACAAAAAUUCCCCGGACGAUUCGACCCUGAACGAUGAUGACAAUCCUGCAAUGAUUAGCCAAUGUGUGAAAACACCUACGCAUUUUAUGGUUUGUUUGCUACACUGAAGACCAGAAAUACCGAAGCCUAGACAAGAGGAACGAAAUCAAACUGGUUAGUGUUUUUUGCAAGAAUGCCCGGGCACGUCUUUGCUUGAAAUCAAAGCUAAGGAGUACAUUAGCUCUGCAACUGGACUUCCUUUCAGAGUUUUCAGUGAGGCACCUGCUGCAGAUGCCAUGUUCUCCUUCUGCGUCUGUUUAGUUUUCCUUUUGAUCGCGCACUUGCCAUGUUCGCAGGGAACAGUCUGCAGUUACACAUGCCCACAGCGCUACACGACUUCUUGCGGAUUUUUGGGCUGGAGUCGUUGUACCAGAUACAGGGAUAGCACUUGCUAUCGGUGUUGCACAGGAUGGAGUGGAAGUACUUCACAUAAUUGUCCAUACCCCGUUUGUUUUGGCAGUACCAUUUGCCCCAAUGGAGGGACGUGUACAAGUCCCAAUUACUGCAG